rnacentral:tmRNA from 1 species
GGGGGCGAAAUUGGGUUCGACCGGGUAGAUGAAGUGGUAGUGGCGUGUCGUGGUUGGUCAGUGGGCCACGUUAAAAGCUGACCAAAAACUUUACUUGCCGAGGAAAACCUCGUGCUAGCUGCCUAGCAACAGGCGGCUCCGACUGAGGGCCUUAGCCGGUUAGGUCUGAAAGUCGGUCGUCAAAUCCGGAUCGCCGCUGGUCACGUUGAGCACGCUGGCGGUUAAAACAAGUUCUCAACUAGUGCCGACCGAACCCUGUCGGUUGGGGUCGGGCGGCGCGAAACACCAAAGAAUCGGCUACACACGUAGAAGCUGCCGCGGAAAUGCCACGGGACGCGGGUUCGAUUCCCGCCGCCUCCAUUG